GAUGAAGAACGUAGCGAAAUGCGAUACGUAAUGUGAAUUGCAGAAUUCAGUGAAUCAUCGAGUCUUUGAACGCACAUUGCGCCCUGUGGUAUUCCGCAGGGCAUGCCUGUUCGAGCGUCAUUUCAACCCUCAAGCCCCGCUUGGUGUUGGGCCCCGCCCGCUGUGGCCGGCCCUAAAGACAGUGGCGGCGCCGCCUGGCCCUCAGCGUAGUACAUCUCUCGCUCCAGGGUCCGGUGGCCGCCUGCCAGAACCCCCCAACUCUGUGGUUGACCUCGGAUCAGGUAGGGAUACCCGCUGAACUUAAGCAUAUCAAUAAGCGGAGGA
rnacentral:misc_RNA from 1 species